rnacentral:rRNA from 1 species
GAUGAACGCUAGCGGGAGGCCUAAUACAUGCAAGUCGAGGGGCAGCAGUACAAUACCUAGUAUUGUAGCUGGCGACCGGCGCACGGGUGAGUAACGCGUACGCAACUUACCUCCAAGAGGGGAAUAGCCCUGGGAAACUGGGAUUAAUGCCCCAUAGUUUAUUGACACUGCCUGGUGUUAAUAAUAAAGCUUUGGUGCUUGGAGAUAGGCGUGCGUCCUAUUAGCUAGUUGGUGAGGUAACGGCUCACCAAGGCGAUGAUAGGUAGGGGGCGUGAGAGCGUGACCCCCCACACGGGUACUGAGACACGGACCCGACUCCUACGGGAGGCAGCAGUAAGGAAUAUUGGACAAUGGAGGCAACUCUGAUCCAGCCAUCCCGCGUGCAGGAUGAAUGCCCUUUGGGUUGUAAACUGCUUUUACUAGGGAAGAAAGGUAGUCAUUUAUGAUUAUUUGACGGUACCUAAAGAAUAAGCACCGGCUAACUCCGUGCCAGCAGCCGCGGUAAUACGGAGGGUGCAAGCGUUAUCCGGAUUUACUGGGUUUAAAGGGUGCGUAGGCGGCUUAUUAAGUCAUAGGUGAAAGGCAUCGGCUUAACCGAUGGAUUGCCUGUGAUACUGGUGAGCUUGAAUUGGGUUGAGGUUGGCGGAAUGUGACAUGUAGCGGUGAAAUGCAUAGAUAUGUCAUAGAACAUCGAUUGCGAAGGCAGCUGACUGGACCUUGAUUGACGCUGAGGCACGAAAGCGUGGGUAGCGAACAGGAUUAGAUACCCUGGUAGUCCACGCCCUAAACGAUGCUCACUCGAUAUUUGCUUUACGGAGUAAGUGUCCAAGCGAAAGCGUUAAGUGAGCCACCUGGGGAGUACGUUCGCAAGAAUG